rnacentral:rRNA from 1 species
CCUACGUGGGGCAGCAGUGAGGAAUAUUGGUCAAUGGGCGCGAGCCUGAACCAGCCAAGUCGCGUGAGGGAGGACGGCCCUACGGGUUGUCAACCUCUUUUGCCUGGGAGCAACGGGCGUCACGUGUGGCGCCACUGAGAGUACCCGGAGAAAAAGCAUCGGCUAACUCCGUUCCAGCAGCCGCGGUAAUACGGAGGAUGCGAGCGUUAUCCGGAUUUAUUGGGUUUAAAGGGAGCGUAGAUGGGUUGUUAAGUCAGUUGUGAAAGUUUGCGGAUCAACCGUAAAAUUGCAAUUGAUACUGGCAGUCUUGAGUACAGUUGAGGUAGGCGGAAUUCGUGGUGUAGCGGUGAAAUGCUUAGAUAUCACGCAGAACCCCGAUUGCGAAGGCAGCUUACUAAACUGUGACUGACAUUGAUGCUCGAAAGUGUGGGUAUCAAACAGGAUUAGAUACCCGAGUAGUC